CAAUAGCGUAUAUUAAAGUUGUUGCAGUUAAAAAGCUCGUAGUUGGAUUUGUGGCUGUCGCGGGCGGCCUAUCACUUAGUGUUAGUGCUUGCCUGUGUCGCCAUCCUUGGGUGGAGCCCGUGUGGCAUUAGGUUGUCGUGCGGGGGAUGCCCAUCGUUUACUGUGAGAAAAUUAGAGUGUUCAAAGCAGGCUUAUGCCGUUGAAUAUGUUAGCAUGGAAUAAUAAGAUAGGACCUCGGUACUAUUUUGUUGGUUUGCGCACCGAGGUAAUGAUUAAUAGGGACAGUUGGGGGUAUUCGUAUUUCAUUGUCAGAGGUGAAAUUCUUGGAUUUCUGAAAGACGAACUACUGCGAAAGCAUUUACCAAGGAUGUUUUCAUUAA
rnacentral:rRNA from 1 species